ensembl:rRNA 5S_rRNA 5S ribosomal RNA
GUCGGCAGCCAUAUCACCCUGUAGCCCAAGACUGGUUGCCCACUGAAGCUAAGCAGGGUUGAGCUGGUCAGUACCUGGAUGGGAGACCUCCUGGGAAAACUAGGUUGCUGUUGGAA